CCUACGGGAGGCUGCAGUGGGGAAUAUUGGACAAUGGGGGCAACCCUGAUCCAGCCAUGCCGCGUGUGUGAAGAAGGCCCUCGGGUUGUAAAGCACUUUCAGUGAGGAAGAACGCCUGGUGGUUAAUACCCAUCAGGAAAGACAUCACUCACAGAAGAAGCACCGGCUAACUCCGUGCCAGCAGCCGCGGUAAUACGGAGGGUGCGAGCGUUAAUCGGAAUUACUGGGCGUAAAGCGCGCGUAGGUGGCUUGAUAAGCCGGUUGUGAAAGCCCCGGGCUCAACCUGGGAACGGCAUCCGGAACUGUCAAGCUAGAGUGUAGGAGAGGAAGGUAGAAUUCCCGGUGUAGCGGUGAAAUGCGUAGAGAUCGGGAGGAAUACCAGUGGCGAAGGCGGCCUUCUGGACUGACACUGACACUGAGGUGCGAAAGCGUGGGUAGCAAACAGGAUUAGAUACCCCGGUAGUC
rnacentral:rRNA from 1 species